rnacentral:rRNA from 1 species
GCUUAACGCGAAGAACCUUACCAGGGUUUGACGUCCUACGACCGCUCCUUAAUAGGAGUUUUCCCGCAAGGGACGUAGAGACAGGUGCUGCAUGGCUGUCGUCAGCUCGUGUCGUGAGAUGUUGGGUUAAGUCCCGCAACGAGCGCAACCCUCGCCUUUAGUAGCCAGCAUUUCGGAUGGGCACUCUAGAGAGACUGCCAGGGAUAACCUGGAGGAAGGUGGGGAUGACGUCAAAUCAUCAUGCCCCUUAUGAUCUGGGCUACACACGUGCUACAAUGGUGAUAACAAAGAGAAGCGAAGUCGUGAGGCGAAGCAAAUCUCAAAAAUGUCAUCUCAGUUCGGAUUGUAGUCUGCAACUCGACUACAUGAAGCUGGAAUCGCUAGUAAUCGCGAAUCAGAAUGUCGCGGUGAAUACGUUCCCGGGUCUUGUACACACCG